GUGAAACAUGGACAGGACAAUGAUCUUUCAGAAUUUGAUGAAUCAAGGGACAUAAUUGAGAGUUUGGUUGACGAAUACAAAGCAUGUGAAUCCCCGGAUUACAUCAAAUGGGGAAUGGAGGAUCCAGACCACGUUCUGACUGGAGAAGGCAGUGUUACAGGAACAGUGGAUCCAAAACUUGCAGUGUGAAUUAAACAAGUUACCCGGAGGGAACAUAGUAAAAUGGGACUGAUACAUUUGUGUUCUGGUUUUUGCCGCCAUGGUAAACAUGGUACAUCUCGUUUUUUGGUGUUUUAUCUGUUAAAAUGAGUAUAUUGAUUCUUAUUGUAUAUAUGGUUUUUAAAGUACUACUAAAGGCCUGUUUGGUAA